rnacentral:misc_RNA from 1 species
AUAUGUUACAUAAAAAAGAAGAUUAAUGCUUCAAUUUAAAACUUUGCUUUUGAAUGUAUUGUUAACUAAUAGUAUCUGUUGUCAAUUUUAUUAUGACACAACAUACAAAUCAGAUAAUUCAUUGGUUUAUUCCUUGCAAAAGACUUAUCCUGCUGCACAUUAUGAAGCCUUUUUGAGAUAUCCAACAUCUUCAUCUGCAAUGAGUACUCUAGUUCCAUCCUCAAUUGCAUUGAGUGUUCCAUCUACAUCUGCAAUAAUUGUUACAUCUUCAGCUGCUACAAGUGAAUUAUUGGUUCAUAAAAAAGUGGAGCUAUGUUUGCGGAUGAAGUGAAACAAGAUUGAUUUUACAUAUGAUGCCUAUAGACGGCUCUGGCUUCCUUCACGUGGUGUCUAUUGUUAAAAAUGAUUUAUUUAGUUUCAUUAUUGGAAUUUUAAAUAAUAUCAUUUACUAAAAGCCAAGACAUAAAUUUAUAUAUUUUGUAUUUUAAAACUUUUUAAAAUAUAAGUUUUAAAACUUUGGUUAAUUUUUACGGUGGAUACUCAAACUUGCAUCUUGUAAUGUGGUUGGAGAAGGCUGAGAGGAAGGUAGGGGGUGCUAAGGGUGGCAUCGUCCCGCCCCUAAUUUCAAUUUAUGCACCACUUGUAUAUGCUGUUAUGUAAAAAAAUAUAGUUUAAACUUUUUAACACAAAAUAUAAUGUGUUAAAAAGUUAUUUUUUAGGUUCAAAUAUUUAUAAGAUGGUAACAUUUCACUACGAGGGUGUUAAAACGUAACAAAGACAUCCACCCUUUAAUCUAAAAUAUACCACUAAUAUUUGGAAAUGUAAUGGAAGCAAAUAUACUGUUAAUAUAAUUUAACCAAUAUAAUAAAAAGUGUCAAGCAAAAUAACAACUUCAGAAAAAGUUUUUUAUAUUUCUAAAAAGAUAUUUAGCAAAAUACUACAAAAAACACACUUCUAUAUUGAUGAUAAUAAUUGGAUUGUUGGCAGGAAAAUAAAAAUGGCAGGCGUGUUUGAAAAGAUAAAUUAUUGAUUUAAUAAUCUUUGAAUAAUUAGAGAAGUCUCAGUAAUUUCUUUUAUAAAUAAAUAUAUACUAUCAGAAAAAGAACUACUAAUCUGAAAUUAAAUAAAAAAUAG